UUGAAGAAAGGUACAGCAAUCUAAGCAGUCAGUGGAUGCGGGGAGUGGUAAACAGUGAAGGGUAGAAAAUGACAGCUGACGAGUCGGCGAGCUGGUUGAUUCGUAAAUGUGAUUUCCCCUCUAGUGGUUGCUAUCGUUUCCAUAGGAUUGUUUUUAUUGAUCGUAGUGCUUUGAUAAUGAGAAGCAAAACUCAAAGCAUUUGCAAACUAACAAUAAACUCCAUAGAGUAGAAAGACUCAGUUUAGAGUUGCUUCCUUCCAGGGGACCGGCCAGGACAACUGCAUUAAAUACAGGCUGUUACCCGUAGGCGAUGGGCUACGACAAAAAUAGGGAGUUCGCCGAAAUUUCGCGGUGUGUCGUACCAUCGGCUGAUGAACAGAAUUCCAUGGAUGAGGAGAGUUAUGAUAUUAUUUACACUAUCUUCUGCUAACCAUUAUCCUUAUUUUUAGCAAACAAAACUGAACGUAACAGAUAGAUGGUAUUGACUUAACCGAUGAAACUGUCGAGUGCGCUGGUUCUCUUUUUAAACGGGUGCCGGUAACACAUGGAAGCCCGUUUACUGUAAAUGGAAUGAAAGCUUUUGUAAUCUUGAGUAUUUUUUACUGUUCAGAAAUUUUGGUUAAUUAAAAAUUCUUUGACCAGUGAUACAUAUGAAACUAAAUAAAAUGCAAUUGAAUAUUGUA